rnacentral:ncRNA from 2 species
GCCGUAGGUUGCAACUGGCGAGGGUGGAUCACCACCGGGGAGCAACCCGAAGUACCCGUGAGGCGUCGCCCGCCUGGGCGCCGGGC